AAAUAUUUGGCGUUAAUGUUGGCACUAUAGAAAGGGCUCUUUUACUCACAAGACAAAUUGCGUAUAGACAUGGGGAUUCAAAUAUGGUGAAUUUGAUUGGCCAUGUUCUCAAAAAUCGAGAAAGUGCAUUUAAAAUGUUUACGACUCUCAAAGAUUCGCAUGGAAUGAUGUCACCUGAAGAGGCGUUCGAAUAUUUUUUAGACUGCAAUUUUACUAAAUAUGCAUAUGAGCAAACAGUGAAAAAGAACCCAUCAAGAUUUCCGAGCUACAAUGUAAUUAAGAGUAUGAAACAAGUAUGCUCACCUUCAGCCGAGUCAAUCGAAGAGUCAUCAUCAAAAAUUCAGGUAGACAUAAAUAUCCACAUAUUUUUCCAGUACACCAACUUUAAAUGUUUCUUUCUUUUCAGGUCAAAUUACAGGCACUCAUGAAUCAUACAACAGAAAGAAUCAUUCAAAUCAUCGAUGCGGAAAUCGUCCAACAAAUGAAUAUCAACGAUGACACAGAGCUAGUGCUUUUAAGCAGCUGGGGUAUGGAUGGCUCAACAGGCUAUUCACAAUACAACCAAGCGCUAUCAACGCCAAAUCAAAAAGAUGACAGUGACGUCUUUUCAGUGACAACUACUCCUAUACAACUUUAUUAUAAGAACAACAAGAAAAACAUUUUGUGGCAUAAUUUAACACCCCAAAGCAUUCGGUUCUGUAGGCCAAUUAUGCUGGAAUUUAUCAAAGAGUCAAAAGAGAUGGUGCUUAACACCAAGAGAUAUAUUGAAAAUCAAAUAAGUCAGCUUGUUCCAGUAAAAAUCCAAUUAUCGAAUGGUGAAUAUGUUUUGGUUGAUUUUAUUUUCGUUGUGAGUAUGAUCGACGGCAAAGUUCUUAAUUAUGUAACUGAUACUUCUUCCAUGUCCAACUGUCCAAUUUGUGGAGCUACUCCGAAUGCAAUGAGUGAUAUAGAGAAGUUUGAAGCAGGAUACGAUUCGAACGAAGAUGUUCUGCAUUACGGCAUAUCUCCACUGCACGCUUGGAUGCGAUUUUUUGAGUGUUUAUUACAUAUUUCCUAUAGGAUGGAAAUUAAAACGUGGAAGAUCACGAAGGAUUUAAAGGCCAAAUAUCUUGAACGGAAAAAACUCGUUACUCAAAAAAUGUACGAAGCGUUCGGAGUACGAGUUGAUCAACCCAGGGCAGGCGGAGCUGGGACCAGUACAACAGGAAAUGUGUGUCGAAAAGCAUUUUCAACUCCUGAAUUACUUUCCAAAGUUUUGGAUAUCGACGAAGAGCUUAUUAUUAGAUUUC